CUUUUUCAGGUAGUUCAGACACAAACCACGACAGCUUAUUGUAAAAUACUACCUACACUGGACCACCACGUUUGAGAUAUCUUUUUCAGGUAGUUCAGACACAAACCACGACAGCUUAUUGUAAAAUACUACCUACACUGGACCACCACAUUUGAGAUAUCUUUUUCAGGUAGUUCAGACACAAACCACGACAGCUUAUUGUAGAAUACUACCUACACUGGACCACCACGUUUGAGAUAUCUUUUUCAGGUAGUUCACAC